rnacentral:rRNA from 1 species
AUUGAACGCUGGCGGCAUGCCUUACACAUGCAAGUCGAACGGUAACGCGGGGCAACCUGGCGACGAGUGGCGAACGGGUGAGUAAUAUAUCGGAACGUGCCCAGUAGUGGGGGAUAGCCCGGCGAAAGCCGGAUUAAUACCGCAUGAGACCUGAGGGUGAAAGCGGGGGAUCGCAAGACCUCGCGCUAUUGGAGCGGCCGAUAUCAGAUUAGGUAGUUGGUGGGGUAAAGGCCUACCAAGCCGACGAUCUGUAGCUGGUCUGAGAGGACGACCAGCCACACUGGGACUGAGACACGGCCCAGACUCCUACGGGAGGCAGCAGUGGGGAAUUUUGGACAAUGGGCGCAAGCCUGAUCCAGCCAUGCCGCGUGCGGG